rnacentral:lncRNA from 1 species
AAAGUCUGAACUUGCAGAGAUAGUCCCACAAGAGAAAUCACCAAAAGGUAAUGCUUCAUUUUUCAGGUCAUCAUCCUUCUUGCCAUUUCUCCCCCGUUCAUUUUUCAAUGGAUGUGGCUCAGUACGCACGUGUUCCAUUGUGAUUUUGCUGUUCCAUAGCUUCCAUUCAACCAAUGCCACCGAGUCCAAGGUAUUCUACCUCAAGAUGAAGGGCGACUACCACAGGUAUACUGUUAUCGCUAGCAGAUCUAGACCAUGCAAGUUGUGGUUUGUAGAGAUCAAAACUUAAGAUCUGUGUGUAGAUAUUUGUCUAGACAAUGGGAGCGACAGGAUGCUGGUUUUUAGUAAGGUUGGUUGCUUAUCUAUGAAUUUGCCUGUAUGAUGCAUGAUCCUGUGCUGUCUCCUGUAGUACAUGGUUGAAAUAUAAAUUUGUGUUCCAUGUUUUUUACCCGCCCCCUACACGUAUCUCUUGGAUAUCUGAUUUCUAC